GGGGCUGUAGCUCAGUGGUAGAGCACUUGCCUAGCAUGUCUGAGGCACUGUUCAAACAUCGGAACUGCAUAAAAAUAAUUAAAAGAAGAAUAAAGUUUUUUAAAUGUGAUAAAGAUAUUGUAUCUAUCUACAACUAAAAAAUAUAUAUUAAAAAAAAAAACUUUUAAAAAUGUGAAGCAGCCAGGCACUGUGGCACACACCUAUAAUCCCAGCAGCUCGGGAAGCUGAAGCAGGAGGUUCUCGAGUUCAAAGCCAGCUUCA
rnacentral:tRNA from 1 species